rnacentral:rRNA from 1 species
UAAUACGAAGGGGGCUAGCGUUGUUCGGAAUUACUGGGCGUAAAGCGCGUGUAGGCGGGUCGUUAAGUCGGGGGUGAAAGCCCAGAGCUCAACUCUGGAACUGCCUUCGAUACUGGCGACCUGGACCCAAGGAGAGGCGAGUGGAAUUGCGAGUGUAGAGGUGAAAUUCGUAGAUAUUCGCAGGAACACCAGUGGCGAAGGCGACUCGCUGGACUUGUGGUGACGCUGAGACGCGAAAGCGUGGGGAGCAAACAGG